rnacentral:rRNA from 1 species
UACGUAGGGUGCGAGCGUUAAUCGGAAUUACUGGGCGUAAAGGGUGCGCAGGCGGUUAUAUAAGACAGAUGUGAAAUCCCCGGGCUCAACCUGGGAACUGCGUUUGUGACUGUAUGACUAGAGUACGGUAGAGAGGGGUGGAAUUCCUGGUGUAGCAGUGAAAUGCGUAGAUAUCAGGAGGAACAUCGAUGGCGAAAGGCAGCCCCUUGGACCUGUACUGACGCUCAUGCACGAAAGCGUGGGGAGCAAACAGG